UAAUGAGAGUGGCGAACGGGUGAGUAACGCGUGAGCAACCUGCCUAUGACAGUGGGAUAGCCUCGGGAAACCGGGAUUAAUACCGCAUAAAAUCGUAGAAACACAUGUUUUAACGGUCAAAGAUUUAUCGGUCAUAGAUGGGCUCGCGUCUGAUUAGCUAGUUGGUGAGAUAACAGCCCACCAAGGCGACGAUCAGUAGCCGGUCUGAGAGGAUGAACGGCCACAUUGGAACUGAGACACGGUCCAA
rnacentral:rRNA from 1 species